rnacentral:rRNA from 1 species
AUACGGAAGGUCCUGGCGUUAUCCGGAUUUAUUGGGUUUAAAGGGAGCGCAGGCCGGUGUGUGAGCGUGACGUCAAAUACAGCCGCUCAACGGUUGUCCGCGUCGCGAACUGCACGCCUUGAGUACGCUGCAAGUGGGCGGAAUUCGUGGUGUAGCGGUGAAUUGCUUAGAUAUCACGAAGAACUCCGAUUGCGAAGGCAGCCCGCUGUCGCGUGACUGACGCUGAGGCUCGAAGGUGCGGGUAUCGAACAGGAUUAGAUACCCUGGUAGUCCGCACUGUAAACGAUGGACACCCGCUGUGUGGCCUGUUAUGGUUGCGCGGCCAAGCGAAAGCAUUAAGUGUCCCACCUGGGGAGUACGUCGGCAACGAUGAAACUCAAAUGAAUUGACGGGG